UCCGGUGACUAUAGCGAAGAGGACCCACCUGUUCUCAUACCGAACACAGAAGUGAAACCCUUCAGCGCCGAUGGUACUGCAGUGGAGACGCUGUGGCAGAGUAGGUCGUUGCCGGAA
rnacentral:rRNA from 1 species